GGGCAGAGGCCAGGCCGACGUCCCAGCACGAUGUUCUCCAACAGGUUCCACAGGAGGGGGUUCCAGGAUGCUCCCUGGGAGGAGGGGCCGUGGCAGCCCAGACCCUACGGUGCCGGCCCCCAGGACAACCGGUACAAGCCGUCCUGGGAGCACCAGCCCUGGAGAGGCAGGCACAACAGGCACCCGCCCGGUCCCUGGAAGCCCUGGCCUUUCCCCGGCCCCUCCGACUUCUAUAGGAUGGAUGGGGACAGGAGAUGGAAACCCCAGGACUGUCCCCGUCUGCCACCCCCCUGGGACUACAGAGAGGAGCACCAAAGACAGGAGGAAAACUUCACCGAGGACUCGUACCCGGUGCAGCCGCUGUUUGCCCCGGAUUCCUUCAACUGGUCGGAGUUCCCCGGCAACGAGCACCCCUCUGCCGACUUCUCGUGGGAGCAAGGGGCCUUCCAGGAAAGCUGCCCGCCCUGGCGUCCUCGUGGCCCAAGCCACAGACGCUGCCGUUACAUUCGCCAUGUCCAGCAGGAGACGUUGGUGUACCACAGCCCGGCCCCUCCCCAGCUCCCCAAAGGGAAGCAGGCGUCCUCCAAAUCCUCCCAGUCCUGCCCCCAGGAGAGCCAGCCAGGAGGCAAGGAAGAUGCGCAGAGCCUUGCUGCUCCCCAGCCAGCUAGUGCCGGCAAGGACGGCGUGCAGAGCGGGGAGAAGGUGGCUGAGGGCCUGCCGGCAGCCAGCGGAGAGGUGCUGGAGCCCUCCGGGCCAGCAGCCUCCCCGCAGAAGAGCCCAGCCGCUGAUCCUCAAGCUGUGGAGCAGGAGCCAGCAGCUGGAGCAAGGCUGGUUGAGCCAGAAGACAGGCAGAAAGCUGCAGGCAGCCAGAGCCCGGGCCCCUCUGCUUUGAAAACGGAGCCAGCCCUGCCAGAGAACACCUGUACCAGGACGGAGGAGGACUCGGAGCAGCCCUCUGUGGAUUCUGAAGCGCACCCAAAACACUUUGUGCAGGUAGAGCCGUGCAGCCAAAGCGUCCCCGAGGCCGCAGCGGGUGCUGGGUCCCCACCCCACAGCACCUCAGCCCCCCAGGAGCCUGCGGAGACGGCCGGCGCCGCAGCGAGCCCGGGUGUGGAGGUCUCACCAGGAGCUGCUGAGGAGCCCGAUGCACAGCCAAGCCAGGCCAGCUCCAACGUCUGCAGCGAGCCAGCAGCAUCACCCAGGACAGAACACCCUCCUGGGGAUGGGACAGAGCUGGCUGCAGGCUGCCAGCCCUUGCUCUGCUCCAUGCUCCCCGCACCCUCCCCAGCCAGCACAGACCUGCGCUCCGCCGCUGUCCUUGCCAGGAAAGAGGAGAUCGAGCUGUCGUACCAGCAGUUCAGCCUGACCAUCGCCGUGGUGGCCACGAUGCUGCUGGAGAAGGAGCCCUCCAUGGAGGCGGCGCUGGGGCUGGCACUGAGGGCCAACCUGCGCCAGGUGCGCACCCACCACCUCCAGGAGCUGGAGGAUUUCAUCAACAGCUACGACUCCGGCACCCCCAGCCCCUAA
rnacentral:lncRNA from 1 species